UUAAAAGCGGUGAACAGGAAGAGUAUUUAGAUUGAUUUCUUACAGAGAGUAGACAUAUGGUGAGAGUUUACAGAAUAGAUUUAAAGAAAAUCCCCUGGGAGCUGGAGACCGAAAGAUUUGCAAGUAAGUUCUCUCGUAUUUCUGCGUUAAAGAAUAGAGUCUAAUAUAAUUUUAAGAUUAUAUUGCACUUGAAGAUUAUUUAAAGUUUUAUAGGUGGUAUAGCGAAUGUAACUUCGUCCUAUUA
rfam:Clostridium botulinum A str. ATCC 3502 complete genome